rnacentral:lncRNA from 1 species
UUACUAACACAAUAGUGGUCCAAGUCUUGGAGAAAGUUUUGCAGAUUGGAGUUAAAUUUAAUGCAAUUUAAUCUGAUAAUUUUUUUAACUUACUGCUGAAUAUGGGUCCAGUCAUUUACCAGAAAAGUCAGAAAGACAGGAAUAAAAAAACCAAAGGUAUUUGGCAGGAUAAAUUAUCAACUGGAACACAGGCUUUUAGUAAUAGAUCAGAACAACACAUGGAGGGAGUAUCAGUUUCUCACAGCAGUCUUUUCAUAGAAAAAAUGGGCAGGUGCUAUCAAACUUUCACCAAACAUGGUGACUAUGCCAUACUGGGAAGGAUGGCAAGCUUCAGAAACUACUGCCAUGUUAAAAGAUGAAGGUACUCCUAGUGAUGUUGAGGAAGAUAUCAUUUUGGAAACAAACAAAGAAAUUAACAAAGAUAUCCAGUGACACUAUGAUAUUGCAAAUACUUUCACUAUUUUUGCUAGUUGGUUUUGGAAUAUUUUCAGUUGGCAUUAUGUUAGAUAUAGUACAACACUACGAAGUGUUCAAAAAGGUUACAGAAGUUUUCAUUUUAAUUUCUGCACUUCUUGUUCUCCAUGAAAACUUGGAAAUGACAUUGGCAUCAAGGUUAACCACUGCAGUAAAUGUAGGGAAGAUGGAUUCACCCGUUGAAAAGUAGAACCUAGGAAUUGGCAGUUUGGCCUUAAAGCAGAUUCCGGCAACUGUAGUGGGUUUUCUUGCAGCUGUAGCAGCAAUUAUUUUGGGCUGGAUUCCAGAAGGAAAAUAAAACUUUGAUCAUUCCAUCAUUUUGUGCUCUAACAGAGAGAAAACUACCUUCCAUGCAUCUCUUCUGCAGAGAAUAAUAAUAGUUUAGGUUAUUGUUGGUUCAAAGAAGAAUGGUAUAAAUUCUGUUAAUGUCACUACAGCCAUUGCUGCUAGUUUUGGCAACCUUACAACUCUAUUUUUAUCUUGAAUAAGUCAGAGUCUAAUACUCCUGUCUUGAGACUUAUUACUACGUAUUAGUUGGUGCCUUUUUCUCUGCCCUAACUCCCAUCUGAAUUGUAAUGACUGCCAAACAUUCAACCACAUUGGCAGUUCUCCAAUCGGUCUCAGGGCCUGCCCUAAGAGCCAGGAUUGUAAGUGGCACUGGGCCUUACUCUGGAAACAUGUGUAUCUGACCCAAUGUAAUUAGGAUUAUUGCUAUAUACUAAUAAUAUUGGUAGUAAUUGGGCGGUUGUCGAUGCUAGCAGGAUUUCUACCUAACUCAAUUUGCGUAGCACCCACGAUAAUUGUCUGAUGAACUCAAAGGUUGUUAUUACCCACUUAGGACAUUUUUGUUCCAAAAGUAAUAGGUCUGCUGAAGUUUUAUUGAUUUUAGUGAUUCCAGGGCAUUUUAUUCCUUUACACUUUCACUUGUUAAAAAAAAAAAUCCUACUUCUUCAACUGUAAUCUUCACCGUAAUUUACUUAUUUGCUUCUGUGUCACAGGUAUUUACCUUGUUAUGAAUUUCUGACAGGAUAGCCCAUCACUUCUGGAAUCAAGAAAAGAACCCUGAUAAUUUCUUCAUCCCAUAUCUUUGGUUGAUCUGUCUGGGUCAGCUUUAUUAGCCUUAAGUGUUCAUUUUCAGUGGUUUGUUAGAGACUGAGAUCAAGAUGUUAGGGA